UAGGGAAUCUUCCACAAUGGACGCAAGUCUGAUGGAGCAACGCCGCGUGAGUGAAGAAGGUCUUCGGAUCGUAAAGCUCUGUUGUUGGUGAAGAAGGAUAGAGGCAGUAACUGGUCUUUAUUUGACGGUAAUCAACCAGAAAGUCACGGCUAACUACGUGCCAGCAGCCGCGGUAAUACGUAGGUGGCAAGCGUUGUCCGGAUUUAUUGGGCGUAAAGCGAGCGCAGGCGGAAUGAUAAGUCUGAUGUGAAAGCCCACGGCUCAACCGUGGAACUGCAUCGGAAACUGUCAUUCUUGAGUGCAGAAGAGGAGAGUGGAACUCCAUGUGUAGCGGUGGAAUGCGUAGAUAUAUGGAAGAACACCAGUGGCGAAGGCGGCUCUCUGGUCUGCAACUGACGCUGAGGCUCGAAAGCAUGGGUAGCGAACAGGAUUAGAUACCCUGGUAGUCCAUGCCGUAAACGAUGAGCGCUAGGUGUUGGGGACUUUCCGGUCCUCAGUGCCGCAGCAAACGCAUUAAGCGCUCCGCCUGGGGAGUACGACCGCA
rnacentral:rRNA from 1 species